GAUGAACGCUGGCGGCGUGCCUAAUACAUGCAAGUCGAGCGAACAGACGAGGAGCUUGCUCCUCUGACGUUAGCGGCGGACGGGUGUGUAACACGUGUAUAACCUACCUAUAAGACGGGUAUAACUUCGGGAAACCGGAGCUAAUACCGGAUAAUAUAUUGAUCCGCAUGGUUCAAUAGUGAAAUACGGUUGUUCUGUCACUUAUAGAUGGAUCCGCGCCGCAUUGGCUAGUUGUUAAGUUAACGGCUUACCAAGGCAACGAUGCGUAGCCGACCUGAGAGGCUGGUAGGCGACACUGGAGCUGAGCCACGGUCAAGACUCCUAAGAGACGCCGCAGUCGGGAAUCUUACGCAACGGGCGAAAGCUUGACGGAGCAACGGCGCGUGAGUGAUGACAGCCUUCGGAGCGUAAAAAUCUGUUUCGAGGGAAGAACAAAUGUGUCAGUAAAUAUGCACGGAUUGACGGUAACUAAUAAGAAAGCACCGGCUAACUACGUG
rnacentral:rRNA from 1 species